UAACAAAGCCAGGAUUUUGUAAGCACAUUAUCAUACCAUGUCACUCACACAAUUAUACACAAACACACGGUCAAGGAGAACACUUCUGUAAAGAACAGGGGAAGAGAAUCAGAAUUUUAAAAUCAGGGGUGAUUAAUAUUUUUAACAGGGGUUCUGCAAACUUCAGGCAUGCCACUGUUGGAUUCAGUGUUCAAUAUAACAGUGAGGGAUAAUCCAGAAGCCAAAAUUGCCUCAAAAGACCAGGAGGGGAAGAAGAGAAUAAUCAGGUAUAAGCUUUCACAGCAGCUCUUAAACCUACAGUGGAAUAAGACGGCAUGCUAGGAAGCCUUAACCAAGCUGUCAAUUCCUUUAUAAAAUUGUUGUGGUGAAGCUGCACUCACAUACUGUUCUGUCUUGCUGAGAACCAGAGAGAUGUCAACAAAAUAGAGGGAAAGAAAAAAAAAAAAAGAAAAAAGGUGAAUAGUUUAGAAUAUGAAAAAAGAUAAGAACAACUAUAUGCAUGCAGCCUAUGUAAGGGCUUCAGCUUUUGCUGCUGAACAGCAAUGAUUUGCUGGAGUAGCUGCUCUCCCUUGCAACUCACAUGUGAAAAAUGUGACACUGAGUGAAUAAAUGUGGCACAACAGGGACCCAGGAGCAAGAGAAGAAACCUCAGACCUCACACAGCACUCCUGGCAGGCAGAGAGAGAAGCAGGAGAUCUUCUGGAAGGAAAGGACUUGCCAUAGAUGGGCUAUCUUGUUGUAAGUAGGGGUAAUGAAAGGCAACUAAGCAGAGGAAAACUUAGUAUGAAUCUCUGGAAUGUUGCCUAAUAGUGGGAACGAAAGAGUUUCCCCACGGCAGUAGCAGGAACACCAUCAACUGAACCAUUUAAAAAGAAACCAGAUAUAAUAUGGACAAAGCAAUAGGCUUCUGUUGGCAAGAGGAUUGCUGGAAACCUCCGUGGACUUUUUCCAUCUCUACUGUGAUUUUGUGCUCUACUGUCUCCUUGCUUGUUUGCCCAGCUUACACUAUUCUAAUACAGAACGAAGAAAUUACGCAGUGAGAUUACUUAGUCAGAAUCUGAAAGUAUAGUAUAAACAACAGAUUAUUAUUCUUUUUACUGAAAAAUCGCUUUUGUUCUUUGGCUCUGCUAGCUGGUUACACCCUGAAGGAGAGGCAGGAACCUGUACCCUCACUGCCUGACCCCCCUGAUGCGAGUUACAGGGUCGCAUGGCAAGGCUUGUCAUCUGAAAGGUGCUUUCUGUAAAGCAAGAGCGCAAGGGGGAACAGGGCAUUCCAACCUUUGGCAGAUGGUUUGAGAAACAUCACCAGAACACUUGCUAACAAGAAUUAGGUCUUUUUCCAAAUUUUGAAUGUAAUUCUCCGUCCCCUCCUCCAACAGCACAGCAGCCCAGGCUGGACAUGAUGUGCUGCGUGACCCCCAUCCCUCAAUGCCUUGCUUUACAGCAAGCUAGUUUCACUGCCAGUAUUAAUCCAACUCUUCAAAUCUGUGUGGACAAUGAAAAUCAUUAAUUCAGGAUACUGUCUUUUCUGUACCUGAAGCAGUAUAAUCUCAGAGGAAAUUUCUAAAUUUGAAAUGGAAAGAGGAGAUUAUUAUACAUUUGGGGGUUAAACUAUUCCUUUUUCCCAACGUUUCCGAAAAGAUGGAACAGUAGGAAGACUAAAAGCUGCUCUGAGGAAAGUAAAAUUGGCUUAAUGAUGACAGCGUUAGCCUUGAAGUUGCAAAAGUGGGAUGUGAGCUCCUGGUCCAUCAUCGGCUCCUGUGUGAGUUCCUUGUGUCAGCUCCCAGCCAGCACAAGGAAAAAGCACUUCCCUGCCUUACAGAAAUGCAGCAGGAGGCAGACAUUAAUACUGUCUUGCCAGCUAAGUAGUACGAAAGCACAAAAAAGGGGGCAAUAAAAUGAAAUUAUAAACUUUAGGGAAUUAAAAUGGUAUUUUCUGCAUUUUUUUACCAAAAUAGAAACAGUUACAAGAAAUAUGGUAGUAUUGACAUUUUUUUCAUUAAAAUGACUUAAAAAAAAAAGAGAAAAAUCUUGACUUGAAAAUCACAUUUGGAAUAUGUGGAUUAUCUUCUCUCCAAGCACUGCCUACUGAGUACACCGGUAAUUCAGAGAUCACUGUUUAUCCACACUACGUUUUUUGAGCAGGACAUAGAACUGUGCAGACGGAAACCAUGGGCACUGGGGUGCCCACAUGUUCAAGUCCCAGUCCUCACUUUCCCAAGCCUUGGCUAACGUGGUCUGGUAAGGGGGUUUGCUAUAUAACUCAUUCUCCUUCGCACACUAGCGACAGAUCUGGCUAACUAUCCCAUAUGGCAGAUCCAAGCCUGGCACAGAAUCAAUCCUAAAAUUCUCCUUGACAGCUCCCUCUCUCGCUGUGCCCAGCAGAAGCUGGAUACAGCAGUGCAUCUUGCCCCCAAAAUUCAAAUUGCUAGCUGCUUUCUUUUUCUGGGAGCUAUUUUAUGAAGCUGAUUGCAGUUACAGGCAUACGAAACACCCUCCACGCUGGUUUCAAAUGCUCAGUUUUGGAAAAUUACAGACCCAGCAUUUCUGUCACCCACAGCAGGAACUGCAAAGCAAUUUAUUUUCAUCAACUUCAUCUUAUUAAAAACACUCAACAAAAAUGCACUGACACGUUGUAUGAAAAAUAAAACAAAUUGAAAGACAGGGAGCAUUUACAAGGUUAUUCAUUUCUGCUUGCCACCUAGAAGCACCAGAUAUAAUAAUGGAAAUGAACAGGGGAGAACAUUUGAAAAAGAUUUGUGCCUAUGACAAGUCAAGGGACGCAGAGAAGCACAGCGACGAUGUAUUCUGAUCUGACAAAGCCCCCAACGUGACAGGAGUGAGAAGGACGACAAACACAUUUCCCAGUGGUCAAGUGCAAGAAAUAAAUGCUGCAGGGAUCAUUCCACAAGUACUAUGUGGUUAUGUUGCAGCUAGGAUUUCUGAGUUUGGAUCUGGAGCUGGCCACCUGCCAACCCUAUUACCUCCAGUGCGAUGCAUUUUAUUUUUUUUAGGACAGCCCCCAAGUAGAAGAUUUUUGAUUAAACAAGGGCAUAAUUCAGCACCUGCCUCCAUCCCUAUGCAAGCCAAUGUUUUGCUGGCGCAUUACAUGGCACAAUAGUAGUACACAUGUUAUUUCCAAACAGGCCAACAAGGGGGGUUUAAACAUUUCCAGGUGUUGCACCGGUUCUAACCAUCACUGUGCAGCUUACACAACCCCCACUAAAUGCUAUGUAUCUGUCCAUCUGUGUACGUGUGAGUGUGUUUGAGUGACCCCAUAAAAGAAGAGAUUACGUGCUCUGAAAAGCCGAACAGAAAAAGCAAAGGAAAGAAAGAGCAUUAUUCCAGAGGCUGGAAAGUAAGGCACACAGGCACUACGCCUUCCCUGAGAAUCUGUGGCACAGAAGAGAAUCCAGAUCUCCUGAGUUCACGUCAGCAUCUAAAAUCCUUUACUUUAGCAAAGUGCUAUAGGAUUGGAAGUAUGUCAAUGCCAACUCUUGGAGGAUCCAGGAGAAGAUACAUUCUUCAAGAGGUUGCAAAACUUUUCACGGGCCACUGACUGCUUUCAAACAGACACCAAGGCAAAUGAUUCGGUGUUCUCACAAGACGCCCUCCUGCACUUGGAAGAGCAUAAUUAUUAAUGACAGAGCUACAUCAUCAUUUUUCGUCGGCUCCUUCCUGAAGACUGCUGUGAUGCCUGACAACAGCUUGGACUCCCCCAUCACAGGGUCUCCCGCAGCUGCUUUGUGUUUGGAGGGCAGGCUGACCCGGGCAUUGGCUCUGUUUUGUCCCAUUCUCGUCCAGUGCCAGCACAGCAAGGUAUGACCAGAUUGCCUUUGCACUACAAUACUGCGAAGACAUCACUUAAAACAGCAACAAAGAGACUUUUGGUGAUGAUUCCUCCUUCCCAUCUGGUGGACUAUGCUACAGCUUCUUAAAGGCUGCCUUCGCUGAAGCCCUAGGGAGCUUCGAGGAAUAACUCACAGAGCUCUCACCAAGGCAAGGCAGCUACAUGCUACCUCCAAAGCAGGACUGUUAACAAAAGAAAUAGGCUGGCUCUGAGCAAUGCCUACAAAAUGCUGUUAAAGAAAGACUAACUGGCACAAAGGCCAUCAGGGCUAUGCAUCAUGGGAUAUUUAUGGUAAAAUAACAACAACAACAAAAAAUCACCCAAACAAAACACACCAGUUGUGAUCUGUAAAGAAUGAAAAGCCAUUAGCAAGAAUGGUGUGAAAUACUAGAAUUCUUGCCUGUCCUGGGUUUGGCUGGGAUAGAAUUAAUUUCCUUCCUUGUAGCUGGUACAGUGCUAGGUUUUGUGUUUACUAUGAGAGUAACGCUGAUAACCCGCUGAUGGUUUAGUUGCUGCUGAGCAGCGCUUACUCUAAGUGAAGGACUCCCCCGUUCCCCGCGCUGUGCCAUGAGGAGGUGCACAAGGAGCCGGGAGGGAGCAGAGCCAGGACACUGACCCGAACUGGCCAAGGGGCUAUUCCGUACCACAGAGCAUCACGCUCGGUACAUACACUGGGGGUGGGGCUGGCUGGGGGCUGCCGGUCACUGCUGGGGGGCUGGCUGGGUGUCAGUCCGCGGGGGUGAGCAACUGUGUUGUGCACCGCUUGUCUUUCUUGGGGUUUAUUUCUCUCUCUUUUUCUUUUUGUUACUAUUAUCAUUAUUGUUAUGACUAUUAUAAUAUUUUGCCCUAUUUCAAUUACUAAACUGUUCUUAUCUCAACCCAUGGGGUCUACCUUUUCCUGACUCUCCUCCCCAUCCCACCAGGAGAGGCAGUGAGCGAGGUUGUGUGGUACUUACUUGCUGGCCGGGGUUUAACCACGACACAGCCAGAUGGGAUUGCCACAGCAGCCCAUCACCGUACACCCCAGUGUGGGUAUGCGGCUCCA